GCAACCGGCAACGAACACAAAAGGGACCUCAGAAGAUUCCUGGGUGAACGGCUCAGGCGCCAUCCCGUGGGCACGGCGCUGCUGAUCCUGCUGCUGCUGCUGCUGCUGCUGGCUCUGCUGGUGGCCUUGGCUGUGCUGGCAGCACCGCAGGCUCCAGUGACAGCUGCCACUCCGCUCUUGCUUCUGGGCUGUUCCCGUGUCUGGGUUGGCUUCAACGGGGUCUGCUACAGCUUCUCAAGGGAUUACGGCACCUGGGAGCAGGGUCAGGAACGCUGCUCCAAGCUGAACGCCUCCCUGGCCAUUGCCAAGGAUGAGGG